rnacentral:rRNA from 1 species
UACAGAGGUGGCAAGCGUUGUUCGGAAUUACUGGGCGUAAAGGGCGCGUAGGCGGCCUUGUCAGUCUUGUGUGAAAUCCCUCGGCUCAACUGAGGAACUGCACGGGAUACUGCGAGGCUUGAGUUCGGGAGAGGGAAGCGGAAUUCCGGGUGUAGCGGUGAAAUGCGCAGAUAUCCGGAGGAACACCGGUGGCGAAGGCGGCUUCCUGGACCGAUACUGACGCUGAGGCGCGAAAGCUAGGGGAGCAAACGGG